CACGUAGGGGGCAAGCGUUGUCCGGAUUUAUUGGGCGUAAAGAGCUCGUAGGCGGUUCAGUAAGUCAGGUGUGAAACCUCCAGGCUCAACCUGGAGACGCCACCUGAUACUGCUGUGACUGGAGUCCGGUAGGGGAGAUCGGAAUUCCUGGUGUAGCGGUGAAAUGCGCAGAUAUCAGGAGGAACACCGGUGGCGAAGGCGGAUCUCUGGGCCUGUCCUGACGCUGAGGCGCGAAAGCUAGGGGAGCGAACAGG
rnacentral:rRNA from 1 species